rnacentral:rRNA from 1 species
UGAGGAAUAUUGGUCAAUGGGCGAGAGCCUGAACCAGCCAAGUCGCGUGAAGGAAGACAGUCCUAAGGAUUGUAAACUUCUUUUAUACGGGAAUAACGGGCGAUACGAGUAUUGCAUUGAAUGUACCGUAAGAAUAAGCAUCGGCUAACUCCGUGCCAGCAGCCGCGGUAAUACGGAGGAUGCGAGCGUUAUCCGGAUUUAUUGGGUUUAAAGGGUGCGUAGGUUGUUCGGUAAGUCAGCGGUGAAACCUGAGCGCUCAACGUUCAGCCUGCCGUUGAAACUGCCGGGCUUGAGUUCAGUGGCGGCAGGCGGAAUUCGUGGUGUAGCGGUGAAAUGCAUAGAUAUCACGAGGAACUCCGAUUGCGAAGGAAGCUUGCCAUACUGCGACUGACACUGAAGCACGAAGGCGUGGGUAUCAAACAGG